UUGAAAGGGAAACGAUUGAAGUCAGUCAUACCAACGGGAAAUCAACCCAUUGAGUGUAGAUUUUGGGUCUUGAAGAGUCUUAAAGCCUUCGGGUUCAUAUAUUUGCGCUUUUUUGGACGUACUUUCUCGUACGGUUGGUUAACAUCGAUUUUGAACAUUAUAAAAUGAUCGGAGGAAUGUAGCUUCGAUCUCGUAUUGAAGUGUUAUAGCCUUUGGUAGAUGUAAUGAUCAAGAUCGAGGAUUGCAACGAAUACCCUUCGGGGCUAUCCGUCUGAUCUCUGAUACGUUGCCUUGGUAACGAAAGCGUGCUUAUGGUAUUGAGGUAUUACGGUCAAAAGGUUAGAACGUGAUUACAUUCGUUAAGGAUGUUGACGUA
rnacentral:rRNA from 1 species